GUCGCUCAGCUGUCGCUCAGCUGCAGGUACGCCCGUCGCUCAGCUGCAGGUACGCCCGCCGCUCAGCUGCAGGUACGCCCGCCGCUCAGCUGCAGGUACGCCCGCCGCUCAGCUGUCGCUCAGCUGCAGGUACGCCCGCCGCUCAGCUGCAGGUACGCCCGCCGCUCAGCUGCACGUACGCCCGCCGCUCAGCUGCACGUACGCCCGUCGCUCAGCUGCAGGUACGCCCGUCGCUCAGCUGCAGGUACGCCCGCCGCUCAGCUGCAGGUACGCCCGCCGCUCAGCUGCAGGUACGCCCGCCGCUCAGCUGCAGGUACGCCCGCCGCUCAGCUGCAGGUACGCCUGUCAGAACUAGUUUGUAACCUGUUGGAUUUAGAGGGACGUUAUAUCAGGGUUACUUCAGCACAGCGGUGAGACGGGUGAGACGGGUGAGACGGGUGUCAGUGAGAGGAAAGACGAGUGGUUCCACCCCAGAGUGGAUUAUAGUUUAGUUUUAUUGCUGAAGAAAGUUACAUUUUUCUUUGAUGCAGUGGCCCCUCGAGGAAAGUUUUAUAGAAUGUCUCUUCUGUCAGUAAAGUUAGGGUUAGGGUGAACCUGUGGCCCCUGAGGGCCUCUGAGGCCCCUGAGGGCUGACGUCAGAUUAACAGAUCGGGGACGACCUGAGGAAAAUCUGAAUAAACUCAAGUAAAGAAAUAACUUUUAAAAACAGAUGAAUGGCUCAUGGUCCAGGUCUGAUUAGAGACCAGUAGAGACCAGUAGGGACCAGGUCCUGGCGGUCUGGUGAGUUCCUCUGUGGCUGAAGGUUUUCAGUGUGGACAGAAUCCAUCAGUCAUUUUGAUUCAUUUGCACAGUUUGAAUGUUAAAGUGUGAAAAUAAAAAAUAUAAAGAAAA